AGUGAACGCUGGCGGUAGGCCUAACACAUGCAAGUCGAACGGCAGCACAGUAAGAGCUUGCUCUUACGGGUGGCGAGUGGCGGACGGGUGAGGAAUACAUCGGAAUCUACUUUUUCGUGGGGGAUAACGUAGGGAAACUUACGCUAAUACCGCAUACGACCUACGGGUGAAAGCAGGGGAUCUUCGGACCUUGCGCGAUUGAAUGAGCCGAUGUCGGAUUAGCUAGUUGGCGGGGUAAAGGCCCACCAAGGCGACGAUCCGUAGCUGGUCUGAGAGGAUGAUCAGACAAACUGGAACUGAGACACGGUCCAGACUCCUACGGGAGGCAGCAGUGGGGAAUAUUGGACAAUGGGCGCAAGCCUGAUCCAGCCAUACCGCGUGGGUGAAGAAGGCCUUCGGGUUGUAAAGCCCUUUUGUUGGGAAAGAAAAGCAGCAGGUUAAUACCCCGCUGUUCUGACGGUACCCAAAGAAUAAGCACCGGCUAACUUCGUG
rnacentral:rRNA from 1 species